CUCCGUAGGUGAACCUGCGGAGGGAUCAUUACACAAAUAUGAAGGCGGGCUGGAACCUCUCGGGGUUACAGCCUUGCUGAAUUAUUCACCCUUGUCUUUUGCGUACUUCUUGUUUCCUUGGUGGGUUCGCCCACCACUAGGACAAACAUAAACCUUUUGUAAUUGCAAUCAGCGUCAGUAACAAAUUAAUAAUUACAACUUUCAACAACGGAUCUCUUGGUUCUGGCAUCGAUGAAGAACGCAGCGAAAUGCGAUAAGUAGUGUGAAUUGCAGAAUUCAGUGAAUCAUCGAAUCUUUGAACGCACAUUGCGCCCUUUGGUAUUCCAAAGGGCAUGCCUGUUCGAGCGUCAUUUGUACCCUCAAGCUUUGCUUGGUGUUGGGCGUCUUGUCUCUAGCUUUGCUGGAGACUCGCCUUAAAGUAAUUGGCAGCCGGCCUACUGGUUUCGGAGCGCAGCACAAGUCGCACUCUCUAUCAGCAAAGGUCUAGCAUCCAUUAAGCCUUUUUUUCAACUUUUGACCUCGGAUCAGGUAGGGAUACCGCCUGAACUUAAGCAUAUCA
rnacentral:rRNA from 1 species